rnacentral:ncRNA from 1 species
AAAAAGUUUUAUUUUAACUUAAAAAUUAAAUGUUAUUUUUUAUUAUAUGUGAAUUGUUUUUUAGAGGAAAUUUACAGUAAUUAUAUUUAUAUAUUAAGGAAACUUAGAUUUAGAAAUAAUAAUUAUUAUUAACAAAAUUUGUGCCAGCAGUUGCGGUUAUACAAAUAAUAUAAUUUAAUUUUAUUAAUAAAAAUUAAUUGAUUAAUUUAAAUUUUAAAUUAAAAUUUUUUAGGUAAAAUUUUAAAUUUUAAUUAUAUUUAUGUUAUUAAAUGAAGUUUAGAAAUUUAAUUUAUAAACUAGGAUUAGAUACCCUAUUAUUUUAAAUGUAAUUUUAUUUAUUAAAUUAUUAAAAGUUAUGUUCUUUAAAAUUAAAAAUUUUGGCGGUAUUUUAGUCUUUUCAGAGGAACCUGUUUUGUAAAUGAUAAUCCACGAUUUAAUUUAUUUUUAUUAUUAAUUUGUAUAUCAUCGUAAUUAAGUAUUUUAUCAGAAUUGUUAAUAUUUAAAGUUUUUUAUAAAAAAAUUAGUCAGAUCAAGGUGCAAUUUAUAUAAAAGUAAUAAUGGGUUACAAUAAAUUUAUUUUUGGAUAAUUUUUAUUAUUAAAAAUUUGAAUUUGGAUUUGAUAGUAAGUUUAAUUAAUUUAUUAAGUUGAUUUUGGCUCUAAAAUAUGCACAUAUCGCCCGUCGCUUUCAUUUAAUAUGAAAUAAGUCGUAACAAAGUAGAUUUACUGGAAAGUGAAUCUAGAAUAU